rnacentral:lncRNA from 1 species
AAAUUUCAAAUGGAGCAUCCCAAUGGAGCAUCCCUUUUUCAAAGGUGGUGAGGAGGCCCUCUUAUGUUGACUUUGGCUUGGUAUGAUCCCACGCUCAUUGACCCAAACUCGCAUGUCUGAAAAUCAAACAUAUGGAUGCUGUUUAUAUCUUUGCUUAUACUCUAGUGUAUUUCCAAGUUGACUUAAUGCAGUAAACAACAUGACAUGUUAUAUUCCUUGAAUUGUUCAUGGGUAUAUGUUUGAAACCAGGUAUAUGUCUUAACAAUGGAGUAAUUGAAGCAGGGGAAACAAUGAAAGGACGGUUAGUGGGACUUAAACUGGUGGUUGAGGUUUGAAAGAAUAACAUUUGUCCCCUUUUUGUCAAUACACGUGUUGGAAAGCAAUUGCUGAGGCAAGUCCAAAGAAUUAGAAUCCAAUUCCUCUUAUAUGGAGGAACUUGACAAUGUUAUUCAAUGCUGUAAAAGUAGAAUAUAUAUGUAAAUCACACGAGGAGACUAGUUGAUACGGACAAGCAAAUUGCAAAGAAUGUCACUAUCUCCAUAACUAGAGGGAAAGACCUGAAAGAUAAGGGGGUGGCUAGUUAUGGUUCUGAAAUUUCAUUGUAGAUCUAAUGACUGAUAAUUUUGUUUCCAAAUAGGGGAUACUAUUUUAUUUUGUUACAUUAAUCGGAAAUUUGAGAAAAAAAGAUGAGUUUACUCUGUCAAAUUGAUUCAGUAUUUUGAUAAAAUUUGAGUUGCGCUUGAAAUAAUUGAACAGCUUAGAUUAAAAUUUUUCACUUCCAUCCGUGUUCCGGUCAUUGAUGUCUUUGCCUUUUCCCCUGCUCUUGUGGUUUGUGUGGCUUAAAUUCAUCGUUUCAAAUAUAUACGGGACAUGGAAGGCUUUUUCUGGUCAUGUACCCUAUUGCACCUAGGAGCGUAUAUUUUGUCAUUUGACUUUGGGUUGCAGUCUGAGAUUGUCUACUAUCACUAUAAGGUUUAUUGUCAAUUAAAACUCCUAAAAGUAGCAACUACUGCCUUAUAUUCACGCUGUGUGAUUAGAUUCUCUCAUUAGUGUAUGCUUAUGUUUUGGUCUUUCUUCACCAGAAGUUGGUUUUCAACCACAUAAAUGAGGAGACUACUCCUGUUCAAUUCAUCAGGCAACAUAAUCAGGAAAACAAGGUAAUUGCAACUCUCAGGUAUUCAGACAGGUCGUGGACGGUGAAGCUCAGGAGCCGUGGACUUUUUUUUUCGCUGCUUGACACCCAAUUGCUAGAGAAGCUCGUUUGCAUUUAAGAGAUGUUUGUGUGUUUGAGCUCAUUGAUAGGGGGGAUGUGUGUUUAGAGUCUACAUUUCCACUAGUACUGGUAAGGACUUGGUUUACGUUGACAGAAAUGAAUUUUGGAAGUGUCACUUUAGAUAGUCCAAAAUAAAUUCAGUAUUCAUAGUUAUAUCUCUUUGUUUAGUCUUGGUGAAUCAAUGAAGUGUACGUCUUCCAUUCCCAUUGGGUUUGUGAGUUUCACAAUAAUCCAGAUGCACACUCAUUAAUGCUACAUCCCAAGUCUAAAUUAACCAAAAAGAAUGUGCUUCAAUGUCAAAGCGAAAAUUAUAACCUAAACGCUUAGCAUGAGAAUUUAGAGGUGUGACUUGUUGGUUUCUAAGUUGCGCUUUUCUGCACAGUGUUGCAUUCUUUUUCUUGGUCUGUCUCAAAAGUUAUGAAAUUUUCCUGAUAAGAUUUUGUAUAUUGAUGGGUGACAUUACAAUUUAGGAGAUGCCAAGUGUAGCUAAUGUGUUUUGUCUAACGUGAAAAACAUGUAAACGUUAGUAACAUGAUUGGAUGCAUUGAUUUGUAGAUCGUUGUAACUUGACAGAAGAUUUACAGCAGUACCUAUGAAAACUCUCCUUUUUCUUUUGGACCAAACAAUCUAAAUGUCAAGUGAGCCCCCAUGAGCAGUUUUGCAUGGUUCCAUGUUUCUGUGGCCUCCCCUGCUCUUGAAAAAACUAGAAAAUUUGAAUCGAAGUAUCCAUCUCUGAAAUUGGUGAUGCGGCCACUAUUAUCAAGGAUAGAACUGUGGUGUGGCCCCUAUGUCCUUUCAUAAUUGGCAUAGCUCAACCAUGAUGCCUUCUACAUCUUUCCCUUUAGUUGACUCUUUUCCCAAGUCGUUUUAAAUUUUUCAUAGGAAUCACAUUAGAUGUUAUUUUCUUUGGAGUGUUCAUGGCUUUAUCUGUAAAACCGGGGCAGUUUUGAUUUUGAAAUUUUAUUUUUUAAAUUUAUGGAUUCAUAAGAUGACCAAUUCUAAAAUGAAAGAUUCUAUUCUCGUUUUUUUUUUCCAGUAAUCAGUUGUAAAGAAGAUUACAUUAUAUAUAGACUAAGAGGAUGUGGUGGGGACGAUCAGUGUUAGCAACUCUUGAACUUUUGUCAUGAGAGUUAAAAAAUUAUGUACACUACUGUAGAGUCUACAAGCACUGUAUUGUGAAAUCUUAACUUCAAGUUGCAGGUUGGGAUUGAAGACUUCUAUUACCCAGUUAACACUAUUAAUUGAACUCCCUGAAACUAGUAAAUACUAGCAUAAAUUUACAUUUGUUUGCGUUUUCCAUUUAUUAUUUCUUUGUAUUUAUUCUUUUCCUCAUUAUACUACAUUGGUAGUGUUCCUUGUGAAUUCAUAAAGAAACAUUCAGAAGAACUAGCAAAUUGCAACUCUUAGGUAUUUGAACAAAUUAUGGCUGGUGCAGCUCGAGACCUAUCAACUCCAUUAUGUAGCUGGUCGGGCCGCAUUUGUGAAAGAAGCUUGUCUGGAUGAAGGGGAUGUCCGCAUGUUUGAGCUCAUUGAUAGGGACGAUUUUAUGGUCAAUCUCCAUCUCCAAUUAUGCUAGUAAGGACCUCAUUUAGGUUGAUUGAGAUGGACAUUGGAAGUGUCGCCUGCAAGCUAUGACAAAUCAAUUGGAAGUGCACUUACUUUUAGCUUUGCGUCUCUUUCUUGACCUGCUUACAGUCUUACCAGAAUUCUCCUCUUUUUUUUUUCUUUGUGCAGGUCAGAACAGAUAGUCUAAAUGUCCAGUGAGCCCUCUUGAGCAGCCUUUUCAUGGUUUCAAUUGUCCGAGGCCUCUCACUGCCCUUUAGAAUGCUGGAGAAUUCAAGUUAGAGUAUCCCUUUUUCCAGAUGGUGACAUGGCCAUCUUUUCUUAAGAAAGAAAUAAUGGUGAGGCCCAGAUCUCCAUUCAUAACUGGCAUAUCUCAAUUAUGAAUGCCACCUAUUUUAUAUAUGUGCCCUAUUGUGCAAUUUUUUCCUGCAUUAAUUUGCUUUCUAUAGAAACACAGGAUAUAUUAUCUUCCUUGAAGUGGUCAUGGUUAUAUGUUUAAAACAGGCUCCUUAACAACUAAAGGGACUAGGGAAAAACAAUAAGUCAGACAGUAAUCAGGAAAUUACCUAGUGAUAGGUGGGUGUGGAGACAAGGUCAGAGGGUUGAGACAGGCAAUAACAACCAUAAAUUAGGAAUUUAAUGAUUUCUAAUUGAAGUAUAAAUUCUUCCCAAAGAUUACUACUUGGCACUUUCUCUGUCUUCUAGUUUAAGUAUAAAUUCCUUCCAAAAAUGACUACUUGGUACUUUCUUUGGCUGCCUAGGCUUGGGAAGAAGAGGCGACACGAAAUGUCCAGCUUAAGCAAUAGCUAUUGCAACAGGCCUAGGCUUGGCAUGACUAGGCUCACUGCAACAGCACGGCAACACUAAUCGGGAUAUUGCUUCCUGGCAACAAAUGGUUUACAAGAGCUACUAUUGCAAGCAAGUUCAAACUUGCGAUCAGAAAUGAAGUGAAGGUAGUGUGACCCUAGACCUCGAAAAUGAGUCCCACCACCUCCGUAGUAUGAAAAAAAGAAAGGCAGCUAAUUUUUUUUUUUGCCAGGCGAAUGAAGAUCACUUUUUGUGUAUAUGUAUCCAUCUAGGAUGCUAGGCGUAGCUUUUCAUGUUUGUUCAAUGCGUAUCGCAAUGUGAGAUUGGUGACUUGGAAAUCCACCAGAUUUGUGCAUGUCUCUAUAUUGAUCACACAUACUUAGCGUAGAGUCUAAGAGCACAGGAUUGUGAUAUUUUGAUUUCAGAUUGCAAGUUGUGACUAAAGACCAUCUCAUCAAGCCUUUUAGACUGCUAAUACGGAUCUCCAGAAAUUCCAAAUACUAUCAUAAAUGUACAUCUUGUUUGCCUUUUCACUUUAGUGUAUGCUUACAUUUCUUUGUCUUAUCAUACAUUGGCUGGUCAAAUGUCUUCAUGGGCAGAGCGUUCCUUAUAAAUUUAUAGAGACAUGCAGUCAAGAAAACCAGCAAAUUGCUAUUCUUAGGUAUUCAGACACAUUGUGGCUGGUGACCAUCAGGAGCUAUCAGCGCUACGCUGCAGUGAACUUCUCUAUUGGUUGGUCCAAGUUUGUGAGAGAAACUUAGUCUUGAAUGAAGGGCAUAUCUGCAUGUUUGAGCUCCUUGAUAGGGAUGAUUUUUAGGUUGAAUUGGGACGUGAACACUGGAAGUGUCACUUUAGGCCAUAUACUAGUUAGAAGCGAUCUAUGCCUCUUUUCUGUUGUGAUGAACCGGAUAAAAGUCCCUUUUAUUUCUGACUGCUUUUUUCUGAACUAGUUACAAUCUUAUAAUUUCUAGGCCUAGCCACUCCAUUUAUCGGAUAUUGUGAUGAAUAGCCUUGCA